CUGGGAAUAUAGCUCAGUGGUAGAGCACUUACCUAGCAUGGACAAGGCCCUGGGUUUGAUGCCCAGUACUAGA
rnacentral:tRNA from 1 species